AUUUUAUUUAUCUUAAUUUUAAUGUAUUUUUUAAAUAAAUAAUAAUAAAAAUUUUUAAAAAUAUUUAAGUUUAUAUAAUUAAUAAUAAAUUUUUUGUGUAUAUUUAUUGAAAAAUGAUGGUUUAAAAUAUUAAAAAAAAAUUUUUUUUUUUUACCUUUUGUAUCAGGGAUGAUUAAUAAAAUUUAAGUAUUUAUAUUUCUCGAAAUUAAAAUAAUUAUAUAAAUAUUUAAUUUAAUAUUAAAGUAUUAUUAUAAAUAUUUAUAUAAAAACUAUAUAUUAUUUGAUUUUAAUUAUAUCUAGUUAUUUAAUAAAUAAAUUUAAUUUAAUAUUAAAAUAAUUUUAUUUAAUUUGUUUAAUUAAUAAAUAUUUUUAAUUUAAUAAUUUAAGGGAUAAGCUUUAUUUUAAUUUUAAAAAUUUAUUUAAAUUAAUAAAAUAUAUAAUAUUUAAAUUUUUUUAUAUUAAUAAGUAUUUAAUAAUUUAUUAAAUUUAUCAUUAAUUUUUUAAAAUAAGUUUUAAUAAUUUAUUAAAUUUAAUUUAUCAAUAAGUUUAAAAUUUUUAAUAAUGAUUAUAUUAGUAAUUUAAUUUAAAAUAAUAAUUAAUAAUUUAAAUAUUUUUUUAAGGAAUUAGGCAAAAUUUUUAUUCAACUGUUUAACAAAAACAUUUUUUGAAGAUAUGAUAAUUUUAAAUAAAAUCUGCUCAAUGAUAUUAUAUUAAAUAGCUGCAGUAUAUAUAACUGUACAAAGGUAGCAUAAUCAAUAGGUUUGUAAUUUAGAUCUUGAAUGAAAGAUUAAAUGAAAUAAAAACUGUCUCAAUAAAAUUUAAUUAAUUUAUAUUUAAGUAAGAAUUCUUAAAUAAAUUAAAAAGACGAAAAGACCCUAUAGAAUUUUAUAUAUAAUUUUUAAUUAUAUUUAUUAAUUAUUUAAUAAAUAAUUUAUAUAUUUAGUUGGGGAAAUUAAAAAAUUUAAAUAAUUUUUUUAAAUAUUUAACAUUAAUUUAUGAUUAUAAAAUUUUUAAAUUAAAUUUUUAAAUUAAAUUACCUUAGGGAUAACAGCAUAAUUUUUUUUUUAAGUUCAUAUUUAUAAAAAUUUUAUGACCUCGAUGUUGAAUUAAGAUUAAAUAAAAUGAAAAUUUUUUAUAAUUUAAGUCUGUUCGACUUUUAAAAUCUUACAUGAUUUGAGUUAAAAUCGGCGUAAGCCAGAUUGGAUUCUAUCUUUUAAAUAUAUUUAUAUUUUUGUACGAAAGGAAUUUAUAUAAUAAAUAAUUUAUAAUUAAGAAUAAAUUU
rnacentral:rRNA from 1 species